rnacentral:rRNA from 1 species
AGAGUUUGAUCCUGGCUCAGAAUGAACGCUGGCGGCGUGCUUAACACAUGCAAGUCGAACGAGAAAGAGGUUGCUUGCAACCUUGAGUAGAGUGGCGCACGGGUGAGUAACACGUAGAUAAUCUACCUUCAAGCCUGGAAUAACUAUUCGAAAGGGUAGCUAAUACCGGAUAAAGUUGAUCAGCAUAAGUUGGUUUAUGAAAGAUUGCCUCUUCUUGAAAGCAAUUGUUUGGAGAUGAGUCUGCGGACCAUUAGUUUGUUGGUGGGGUAAAGGCCUACCAAGACUACGAUGGUUAGCUGGUCUGAGAGGAUGAUCAGCCACACUGGAACUGACACACGGUCCAGACUCCUACGGGAGGCAGCAGUGAGGAAUUUUGCGCAAUGGGGGAAACCCUGACGCAGCAACGCCGCGUGAGUGAAGAAGGCCCUUGGGUCGUAAAGCUCCGUCGACAGGGAAGAAAUUAACAUCAUCCAAUAGGUGUUGUUAUUGACGGUACCUGUAGAGGAAGCACCGGCUAACUCCGUGCCAGCAGCCGCGGUAACACGGGGGGUGCAAGCGUUAUUCGGAAUUAUUGGGCGUAAAGGGCGCGUAGGCGGUCUUGUCGGUCAGAUGUGAAAGCCCGGGGCUCAACCCUGGAAGUGCAUUUGAAACAGCAAGACUUGAAUACUGGAGAGGAGAGCGGAAUUCCUGGUGUAGAGGUGAAAUUCGUAGAUAUCAGGAGGAACACCGAUGGCGAAGGCAGCUCUCUGGACAGAUAUUGACGCUGAGGCGCGAAGGCGUGGGUAGCGAACAGGAUUAGAUACCCUGGUAGUCCACGCAGUAAACGUUGUUCACUCGGUGUGGCGGAUCUUAAAAUCUGCUGUGCCUAAGCUAACGCAUUAAGUGAACCGCCUGGGGAGUACGGUCGCAAGACUAAAACUCAAAGGAAUUGACGGGGGCCCGCACAAGCGGUGGAGCAUGUGGUUUAAUUCGACAACGCGAAGAACCUUACCUGGGUUUGACAUCCUGUGAAUCUUUGAGAGAUCAAAGAGUGCCUUCGGGAACACAGUGACAGGUGCUGCAUGGCUGUCGUCAGCUCGUGUCGUGAGGUGUUUGGUUAAGUCCAGCAACGAGCGCAACCCUUAUCGUUAGUUGCCAGCACGUAAUGGUGGGAACUCUAGCGAGACUGCUCGGGUUAACCGGGAGGAAGGCGGGGAUGACU